UGUUUGGACAUGAUCAAAUCAGAGAAACUUUGAAUCGAUUCGAACCAGUUUUACGUUGCAGUAAGGUUUCGUGUGGAUUUUGGCCGGUUGAUUGGCAAGUUGUGUUCCUUUUUUACCGGAAAGUUUCGGUCGGAGUGGGCGAGCGGCUUUAUCAUAACAAUAUAUUCCAGAUUUCCUGAUUUCGGCCUUCGUGAUGGUGGAGGAGGAGGAGAACGGGUCCCAUCGUUGCUCCAGCGGGCCUUGCCGGAAGACGGGAGGGAAAGGAACCGGUCUGCGAUCGAGGAAGCGGAUUGGCGUUUAACUUUCCGCUGGAGGUGGCGGUGCGUGCCAUACCCAAGGAGGAGGAGGAUCAAACGGCAUGUAAUUGAUGAGGCGGCGUUUCUGAUCCGCCGGAGGUUUUUAUACGGUAACCAAAAAUAUUCCAAUCAGAUCCUGCUGACAACCCAGCGUCUCUGUUUUGUCCCACGGAACGGAAGCUGUAACGAUCGCAAAAACACCUGCACCGGACACUUCCGGUAAACUGAUGUUGUCCCGUACUCCGGUGGCCAUCAAUCCGUGGGAAAUAAACGGAAGCAAACUCGAAAAGAUGGCUGACAAAGUCCGGCCAAGAUGCCGAAGUGACGAGAUGAGCUGAAAGGCCAACCGGAAGACAACGCCAAAAAACCACUUAAAGAUCGCGAUACACAACAUCUAAAAUUAAUGAAUGUAUAUGAAAUUUAGUGAAAAAGUUUAAUUUACAGAAAAUAUACAAUACAUCUAAAAAUAAUUUAAAAAUAAAAAA